UACGUAGGAUCCGAGCGUUAUCCGGAGUGACUGGGCGUAAAGAGUUGCGUAGGUGGUUAUAUAAGCGAAUAGUGAAACCUGGUGGCUCAACCAUACAGACUAUUAUUCGAACUGUAUAACUCGAGAGUAGCAGAGGUAACUGGAAUUUCUUGUGUAGGAGUGAAAUCCGUAGAUAUAAGAAGGAACACCAAUGGCGUAGGCAGGUUACUGGGCUAUUUCUGACACUGAGGCACGAAAGCGUGGGGAGCGAACCGG
rnacentral:rRNA from 1 species